rnacentral:rRNA from 1 species
UACAGAGGGUGCAAGCGUUAAUCGGAAUUAUUGGGCGUAAAGAGCUCGUAGGCGGUUCGUCGCGUCGGCUGUGAAAUCCCGAGGCUCAACCUCGGGUCUGCAGUCGAUACGGGCGGACUGGAGUUCGGCAGGGGAGACUGGAAUUCCUGGUGUAGCGGUGAAAUGCGCAGAUAUCAGGAGGAACACCGGUGGCGAAGGCGGGUCUCUGGGCCGAUACUGACGCUGAGGAGCGAAAGCGUGGGGAGCGAACAGG